rnacentral:rRNA from 1 species
GUGGGGAAUAUUCCGCAAUGGACGAAAGUCUGACGGAGCAACGCCGCGUGAGUGAUGAAGGUUUUCGGACUGUAAAGCUCUGUUGUUUAGGACGAAAGUGCCUGUUGCAAAUAGUUACAGGUAUUGACGGUACUGAACGAGGAAGCCACGGCUAACUACGUGCCAGCAGCCGCGGUAAUACGUAGGUGGCAAGCGUUGUCCGGAAUUAUUGGGCGUAAAGAGCAUGUAGGCGGGAAUCUAAGUCUGUUGUGAAAAUGCGGGGGUCAACCCCGUAUUGCGAUGGAAACUGGGUUUCUUGAGUGCAGGAGAGGAAAGGGGAAUUCCCAGUGUAGCGGUGAAAUGCGUAGAUAUUGGGAGGAACACCAGUGGCGAAGGCGCCUUUCUGGACUGUGUCUGACGCUGAGAUGCGAAAGCCAGGGUAGCGAACGGGAUUAGAUACCCUAGUAGUCC